UGGCGCACGGGUGCGUAACGCGUAUGCAACCUACCUUAAUCAGGGGGAUAGCCUCUCGAAAGAGAGAUUAACACCGCAUAAAAUCACAAGCUGGCAUCAGCAAAUGAUCAAAUAUUUAUAGGAUUAAGAUGGGCAUGCGUGACAUUAGUUUGUUGGUGAGGUAACGGCUCACCAAGACUACGAUGUCUAGGGGAUCUGAGAGGAUGACCCCCCACACUGGUACUGAGACACGGACCAGACUCCUGCGGGAGGCAGCAGUAAGGAAUAUUGGUCAAUGGGGGCAACCCUGAACCAGCCAUGCCGCGUGCAGGAAGACGGCCCUACGGGUUGUAAACUGCUUUUAUACGGGAAUAAACCUCUGUUCGUGAACAGAGCUGAAUGUACUGUAAGAAUAAGGAUCGGCUAACUCCGUGCCAGCAGCCGCGGUAAUACGGAGGAUCCAAGCGUUAUCCGGAUUUAUUGGGUUUAAAGGGUGCGUAGGCGGCCUAUUAAGUCAGGGGUGAAAGACGGUGGCUCAACCAUCGCAGUGCCUUUGAUAC
rnacentral:rRNA from 1 species